AUGCCAGAGAAAAGUGGGAAGGUGGGGAUGGGGGGGAUUAGUUUGGUUUCUGCUGCUGCACGUUAACACAAAAACCGCAGCCCUAAAUGGACAACUCAACUGACUUUGCUUGGUAUGGGAAA